rnacentral:rRNA from 1 species
GACGAACGCUGGCGGCGUGCCUAAUACAUGCAAGUCGAACGAGAGCAACCGGUGCUUGCACUGGUCAAUCUAGUGGCGAACGGGUGAGUAACACGUGGGUAACCUGCCCAUCAGAGGGGGAUAACAUCCGGAAACGGAUGCUAAACCGCAUAGGUCUUCGAACCGCAUGGUUUGAAGAGGAAAGGAGGCGCAAGCUUCUGCUGAUGGAUGGACCCGCGGUGCAUUAGCUAGUUGGUGAGGUAACGGCUCACCAAGGCCGUGAUGCAUAGCCGACCUGAGAGGGUGAUCGGCCACAUUGGGACUGAGACACGGCCCAAACUCCUACGGGAGGCAGCAGUAGGGAAUCUUCCGCAAUGGACGCAAGUCUGACGGAGCAACGCCGCGUGAGUGAAGAAGGUUUUCGGAUCGUAAAACUCUGUUGUUAGAGAAGAACAAGUGCUAGAGUAACUGUUAGCGCCUUGACGGUAUCUAGCCAGAAAGCCACGGCUAACUACGUG